rnacentral:misc_RNA from 1 species
UGGCCGAUGACUGGGGUGAAGUCGUAACAAGGUAGCCGUAUCGGAAGGUGCGGCUGGAUCACCUCCUUUUGAGCAUGACGUCAUCGUCCUGUCGGGCGUCCUCACAAAUUACCUGCAUUCAGAGAUGCGUAUCGGCACAGGCCGGUAUGCGAAAGUCCCAUCAUGGGGCCUUAGCUCAGCUGGGAGAGCACCUGCUUUGCAAGCAGGGGGUCGUCGGUUCGAUCCCGACAGGCUCCACCAUUUGAGUGAAACGACUUUGGGUCUGUAGCUCAGUGGUUAGAGCGCACCCCUGAUAAGGGUGAGGUCGGUGGUUCGAGUCCUCCCAGACCCACCACUCUGAAUGUAGUGCACACUUAAGAAUUUAUAUGGAUCAGCGUUGAGGCUGAGACAUGUUCUUUUAUAACUUGUGACGUAGCGAGCGUUUGAGAUAUCUAUCUAAACGUGUCGUUGAGGCUAAGGCGGGGACUUCGAGUCCCUAAAUAAUUGAGUCGUAUGUUCGCGUUGGUGGCUUUGUACCCCACACAACACGGCAGAUAGCUCCGAGGCAACUUGGGGUUAUAUGGU